AUGUGUAAACUAGCAGUUUCUAUUGCUGACAAUUUUUGCUGUGUUUUUAUAUCCUAUGCUCUGAAUUAUUCAGAAGCUUUAAUCCAUUCCAGCUUGAGUGAAUGCUGCAUAUCAAUUGCCACCUCUUCUCUUUUUUUGAUGUUAUAUCUUUUAGCGCAAAAUAUAGCUUCUCCCCAUUGUACUGAAUGGACUUCUGUUGACAUCAUAGUAGCUUGUCUUUCACUGAGUGCCUGUGGGCCGUUUUUAGUUGCGGAAGGCAAUUUAUGCAGGGUUCUAAAAUUGGAUACAAAUAGGCUAGCUGGCUGUUCAUGA
rnacentral:rRNA from 1 species